GCAGAAGAUUGGGUUUGCUAACUACGAACCAACUGUGAUUCUGGACUUUCCUCUGACACCCUGCCAUGGCCCACAGAAGACUCACUAGCAGCCUGAGGCACUCAUCUCCCAGGUCUUACACAUGGAGAACUGCAGCACUGAACAUGCAGCCUUUAUUUCCAGGCACUCCUAAAUAAGAACAGCCAAGAAAGUUAAGGCAAAUCAAAUUAGGGAUGUAAAUCCAGCUCCCAUAAAUUAAAGUUCAUUAAAGGCUUCUGUGUGGCUUAGUUCCUUCAGGUGUAGUGCAGCUGUAGACUUGUGUGGGGUCUGAGCUCGAUUUUUGCUAUUGAUUAAUCUUAAAUUUAAUGAACUUUAGAAAAACCCCAAGAGUGAGAUAAAAAAGGUUGAAAUAUGUGUCUAUUCUGAUUAAACACCUACAGGAAGAAGAGACUGUCUUACCAUAUGACUUGCCUAGGUACAGCUUGAAAGUAUACAACAUUGCUGAAGUAAGGUCUCCUUCUGCAGUUGAAGAAACUCCUAAUAAUAACAGCACUUGGCUAAAAAGUAUGUCAGGAGCUGUAUUCAAUGUGAAAACUAUGGACAAAUCAGAGAAGAUGAUUCUGAAGUGUUUCCAAGUCCAAGAAAGAGAGCUUUCCACAAGAUGGGAAAGAGUUCAGUCCAUUAUAUUAUAGAGAUCUGAGAACAGAAUGAAGAACCACAUAAGCGUCCUCCAAAAAAAAAAACAAAUGAGGAGUCUGGAAGUGACACAAAGGCUCAACAAUGCUGAAAAUAAAGUCACAGGACUGGAAAAAAGAAGGAGCGACUUCCAAUUUGGAGGUGAACUUGCAAGAGAUUUGAAGCAAUAG
rnacentral:lncRNA from 14 species